rnacentral:lncRNA from 1 species
ACAGAAGAAAUACAAUAAAACAGGAAACCUCAAAUUAAGUACUGAGUUAUUACAUAAAUCGGAGUUCUUGAGUAGCAAAUAAAGUUCACAAAAUAAAGUGCAGCGGAUAAUCGAUGUCGUCGGUACUGAGGAAAUGGGCAAGGCCUAGCCCACUACUCCUCGUGCUCCUCUCCUGCCGGAGCAACAACCCACUCGACCGUCCAACCCGGUGGCAGGGUGGUAGGCCAAGUCACACCAUCAACCAAUUCCUGCAUGGUACCUGCAAAAAUGGUGCCACAAGCAAGGCUGAGUAUACUAAUACUCAGCUAGACUUAACCGGUGUGAGGAGUCUACUCCUCUACCUCUAGACCAUGCAGCUGUUUGGCUGAGGGGUUUGGUUUGCCAAAAGCACUAGCUGUUUCUAAAAUCAAUUUUUAGCCUUUCAAGUUCUAUCAUCAUUAACUUAGCUAGGUUUGCUCCUUCUAAGCAUACAUGGUAACAACCAAUUAGUUCAAUCAACGAAUUAUCUCAUGUAACCACAUUUCACUUCUUACUCGAUGCAGUACAAGGAAUCAAGCAGUCUCAUUAGCUGCGAGAAGCAGACGAUUCGAAUCGAGUUUUAAACCUUGCAAGGUAAACCUAAACACACGGCAUGUCAGGGUACUCCGACCCCGCACAUGACAACCGUCCCCAUCGAUUCCCCGUUCGCGUCCAGGCCUCACCGCCUUGGCAUACAAUGGUCCACUGACCCCGGCUGCCGCCGUGUAGUGACCGCACUUGUACCCACCAUAGCUAGCAUGGGAGACCCAGUCUCAGGUCGCAUGAGGGAUAAAGUCCGCACCCGGCUUCACUCAGGUACUAGGUUUACCGGUUACCAUUUUUCCCGGCAUGUGCUUAGUACGUUCAAAAGCUUGACUCAGGUAUCCACACAUUAAUCCUUAAUUCAUUUUUCCCGUCUCAUGGACAAGGCAUCCUCCCUGGAUCCAAAUCCAUAGACCAACAUAGAUCCCGUUAUCAAGAUGAAUACAAUCAAUUCCUGACCUCGCGCGAGUGCUAGAAAAAUCACUCGACUUCUACCGAGAUCCUGAUUAGCAAGCAGCUACUCGACCUAGCAUACUAGUAUUCAUCUCAAAAAGGAAUCCUAAGUUCAUGCAACUAGAGGUUUCAAGCAACUCCUACACUUAAGUGCACAUUGCAAUCCUACAAGCAUUAAGUGUAGUAAAGUAGCAUAUAAUAACAUGGUUAUGCAUAAAACCGGGGCUUGCCUUCAAUUGCUGGGGCUGCG